UACAGAGGUCUCAAGCGUUGUUCGGAUUCAUUGGGCGUAAAGGGUGCGUAGGCGGCGCGGUAAGUCGGGUGUGAAAUCUCGGAGCUUAACUCCGAAACUGCAUUCGAUACUGCCGUGCUUGAGGACUGGAGAGGAGACUGGAAUUUACGGUGUAGCGGUGAAAUGCGUAGAUAUCGUAAGGAAGACCAGUGGCGAAGGCGGGUCUCUGGACAGUUCCUGACGCUGAGGCACGCAGGCCAGGGGAGCAAACGGG
rnacentral:rRNA from 1 species